rnacentral:snRNA from 1 species
GGAUAUGAGGACGAUCUGGCUGUGACAUCUGUCACAUUAGCGAUUGCCAGGGUUGAUUUGGCUCCCAUGGCUGGCGAGGCAGCUGUCCUGCUUGCUACCUCGCCACUCCCUGUGAUUCCGUUCACCUCACUCCACAUCACGCCGUAUUCUAAAAUACCGCACCUAUUCAUGUAUUUUUAGAUAAGCCUGACCUAAUACAUUCAUAAAUUUAAUCAGUCUGAAGAUUUUUACUUUUGUUUUAAAAAGGGCCAGUCCCGCCUUGCGGCCCUGUUU